rnacentral:rRNA from 1 species
UACGGAGGGUGCAAGUGUUAUUCGGAAUCACUGGGCGUAAAGAGCACGUAGGCGGAUAGGCAAGUCAGGUGUGAAAGCCCGGAGCUCAACUCCGGAAUUGCAUUUGAUACUGCUUGUCUUGAGUGAGGUAGAGGGGGGUGGAAUUCCCGGUGUAGAGGUGAAAUUCGUAGAUAUCGGGAGGAACACCAGAGGCGAAGGCGACCCCCUGGGCCUCUACUGACGCUGAGGUGCGAAAGCGUGGGGAGCAAACAGGAUUAGAUACC